UACGUAGGGGGCUAGCGUUGUCCGGAAUCAUUGGGCGUAAAGCGCGCGUAGGCGGCCCGGUAAGUCCGCUGUGAAAGUCAAAGGCUCAACCUUUGAAUGUCAGCGGAUACUGCCGGACUAGAGUCCGGAAGAGGCGAGUGGAACUCCUGGUGUAGCGGUGGAAUGCGCAGAUAUCAGGAGGAGCACCGGUGGCGAAGGCGGUUCUCUGGGCAUUACCUGACGCUGAGGAGCGAAAGUGUGGGGGAGCGAACAGG
rnacentral:rRNA from 1 species